rnacentral:ribozyme from 10 species
ACUGGUUGCGGCCAGUAUAAAUAGUCUUUAAGCCGCAAGCGUGUCCUGGAGUUAAUCUUCCAGGGCGGUAGCA